CUGCGUGAAGGAGGAAUCGCUAGUAAUUGCAGGUCAGCAUACUGCAGUGAAUUCGUUCCCGGGCCUUGUACACACCGCCCGUCACACCAUGGAAGCUGGUAGUGCCCGAAGUCAUUACUCCAACCAUUCGUGGAGGAGGAUGCCUAAGGCAGGACUGGUGACUGGGGUGAAGUCGUAACAAGGUAGCCGUACCGGAAGGUGUGGCUGGAUCACCUCCUUUUUAGGGAG
rnacentral:rRNA from 1 species